UUUAACAUAUUCAUAUAGAAACGCAAGGGAAAGACAACGUAUAUGAAAGUGACACUAUUCAAAUAAGAGUGGUUUAUCACUUUCUUAAGUAGGCAAAAAUUUAUACCAACAAAAUAUUGUUUUUGCCAACUGCCAACCAAGAUACGCAUACAUACGCCAACAUACAAUGUCUGAUUUGCCCUUUGUGGUGGAGAGCGAAGUAACCCGUGCCUAUACCGUUGGAUUGAAACCCUCUCUCUCUCUCUCUCUCUCAAUGUUGCGUCAUUGUUCAAAAAAGAAUUCAAAAGCUUUUAAUGUUAAUUGCCGACCCUAAACCGUCUGAAAUCACAACUAAUCACCUUUGCUUCCUCCGGGUCGUGUAGACAUUGAUCGGAGUUUGGUUUGACUUUCCCGUUUUCGCAUUGCUGUCAAGUUUUCUGUGAUACUGUCCACGGGCCGUAAGAGAGUUUGUUGAAGGAUCCCACGGGGCUGUGAAAGUAUCUUUGUUGCUGUUGCCAACUGGUCGGUGAAGUGUCCACGGGAUUUGCUGUGUGGGUGUCCACGGCCUGCGAGAAAACUUCGUUGAUGGAAUACACGGGCCGCGAAUAAGGGGUCAAGCAUCAACAUUGUCCGUGCAAGAGCUUCUGCGACUGGAAGAUUGUUGGUGGUUAAUGGUAUGUUUUUUUUGUAGAAGUUUCAAGUUUUGGUGGAUUGUUGUUUACACAUGGCCCCAAAAAAACAUAUUCGGAGGAAUGAUGACCGAGGAGAUGGGUAAAGUAGUUCUUUGUUGGGCGCUUCAUGCAGAUGUAACAGUUAAUCGUGUUUUUGAAAAGUGUUUUUUCGUUGCAAAUUUUGCAACAGAUUCUAUGCUUGCAGGGGCAAAGUUUUCGGGGCAACAAAUGGUGGAGUUGAGUUCCAACUUCUAUCUUUUUGGAACAAGCUGAUGAGAGAACAGAUACAUGCUGAUAAGUUGCUCUUACGGAAUUCUUGUUUUCCAUUGGUGAGGAUGCUGAGUCUGUCUUCUUCGUCCCCUCGAAGUGAAAGAAUCUGCUAAUCGGUCAUUUUGCCGAGGAUGAGCAUCGCAUCUUUGAGGAGAAGAUAAGCAGGCUGAUGCAGGAGGAUGCUAAGUUUGGAGGCCCUGUUGUUAGUAGGAGAUUCAAUUGGCCAAGGAGGCCUGUUGUCCAGAACAAGGUGAGCGAAGAUGGUAAGGAGGACGAUGUACAUAUGAAGGAUGUUAAGGUUAUGAGGGGUAAGGGUCAGAAGAAAAUCGAUGUGGACCCCAAAAAGAGUGAUAAGGAGACUGAAGAUGAUGACAGUAACAAUCAUUCUGAGGACAGUGAUAACGGUCCUAGGGAGGGUAAAAUGGCUGCUCAGGACAGUGGAAAGAAUGUUGCGUCUGACGAUGACAGAAGCUCUGUAUCUAGCUCAGAAGGUGAUGAUCUACCAGACGUUUCUAUGGCUAAUAAAAAAGUUGGUGAUUCAAGUGAUGAUCAAGGAUUGUCGCCCAUUGCAACAGGAGCCGCCCCUGUGUCACAGGAGUUGGUUGUCUACGAGGCCCCAAAUCGUUUUCUAGAUGAGUUGAGAGAGAAGGUUUAUCUAUACUAUGUUACCACAGAUGAUGGUUCGUCAGUCAUGAUGCUUGAACAUUCUAAAUACCACAAGUGCAAAACUUGGACUUUUGAUAAGCAACCAUCUUAUGCAUUUUGUCAUUGAGGUUCUUAAUGCCGAAGGUGCGGACGAUCAAUUGGAAGAAUGUGUUUGCCUCAGCCCAUACAUGAUGGUAAUCGUUGCCCGAAACUGCAUUGUUCUAAUUAUUUAUUCAUAUCAUUAAUUUCGAUGUUUGACUUAAAAAAUUUGGGUGUUUAGUUGUCUGAUCUUAGACAUUAUUAGUCAGGGAAGUACUGACUGCUUCAAGGACUGAAAAACCAUUCUUACUUCAGGCACAUUUGGAUAGCGAACAAAAAUCUAGUAAAAGCACCAAAAUUUCCGUCGUUUUAUGCAUUGUUACACUACUUUUGUAUGGAUCGUGUAAUGAGUAUUUGUUGGUAGAUUAUGGGACCCUUUUUGUGGAACGAGCAUUGGUGGGCUUAUGCACUUGAUCGCAAGAAUAAAAUAGUCUACGUGCUUGACUCCAUACGCCGAAGGUGCCUGACUUUUUAAAGGAAGCAACUAGACUCCCUGGUGGAACAGAUCUCUUUGGUAGACCCUGGCCACGUUCCUAUCGAUUCUGGAUUUCACUGCAUUUAUACCCCUGUACCAAGGCAACACAACAGUGAUGACUGCAGAGCUUUUGUGUACAAGUACCUUCAGCACUGGUCGCCUGAAACGUUAUUGCCGGGUUACAACUAGGUUAGGACACCGUCAUUUUGUUGAGCUUCAUUAUUAUUAGAACUGUUGUUGAUGUCGAAUUUUGGUGACGAACCUCAAACUCAACUACAACGUUGUGCUUUUUUAAGUUUUCAUCUCCCAUUUUUCCAAGAGCAAGUUCUGACUUUCCAGAAAGAUCUCAUCCUAUCCUACAGUCUGAGUGGGUUGAACACUAGCCAGGAUGUACUCCUUGGGCAUGUAGAGGAGUACUUUCAUGUAGCCUAUUCAAAAGGAAUAUUCAUUUAAAUCCCCCUUAAAGUGCAUGUCAACCAGUCGAGGAUAGCCGCUCGCAUAAAGAAUAGGGCGAGACAAAGUAACAUCAGACGGAAGUUAGAUCCCAACUCGCUGGGUUUGGUGUCUUCGACGAAGGAAAAACCCCCUCCCAGGAGGUAUAAGCAAAGUUGUUUCAUCUUGUGCUAUCUGCUACACUCGCAGUGUUAUGAUGAUAGAGUCACCAUGUAUAGUAACAUUGUCUUUUGAAUAUUUCAUGAACUUCGAUGUUAGUUACAGUGUAUUUAGUCAACGUAUAUAUCACGAACCCUUUUUCUCUGAUCAGUGUCAUCCAUGAUGAGGCACAAGAGAUCUAGUCUGUUUGAAUUGUUUUAGAUUGAAAUCGAACAGGUUGGAAAAUAUCCUGUAAAACUGGAACAAUUCAUUUAACAUUUUGAUAAAUAUACCGCUAGUUUGACUUCACA